rnacentral:rRNA from 1 species
UACGGAGGGUGCGAGCGUUGUCCGGAAUCAUUGGGCGUAAAGGGCGCGUAGGCGGCCGAGUCAGUCUUUGGUGAAAGCGCGGGGCUCAACCCUGCGUCUGCCAGGGAUACUGCUUGGCUGGAGCACUGUAGAGGCAGGCGGAAUUCCGGGUGUAGCGGUGGAAUGCGUAGAGAUCCGGAAGAACACCGGUGGCGAAGGCGGCCUGCUGGGCAGUAGCUGACGCUGAGGCGCGACAGCGUGGGGAGCAAACAGG